rnacentral:rRNA from 1 species
CGUGUAGGCGGUUUUGCAAGUCAGAUGUGAAAUUCCCAGGCUUAACCUGGGCGCUGCAUCUGAAACUGCAAGACUUGAGUACUGGAGAGGAUAGUGGAAUCCCUAGUGUAGCGGUAAAAUGCGCAGAUAUUAGGAGGAACACCGGUGGCGAAGGCGACUAUCUGGACAGUAACUGACGCUGAGGCGCGAAAGCGUGGGGAGCAAACA